rnacentral:rRNA from 1 species
UGGGGAAUAUUGCACAAUGGGCGCAAGCCUGAUGCAGCCAUGCCGCGUGUAUGAAGAAGGCCUUCGGGUUGUAAAGUACUUUCAGUCGGGAGGAAGGUGGUAAGGUUAAUAACCUUAUCAAUUGACGUUACCGACAGAAGAAGCACCGGCUAACUCCGUGCCAGCAGCCGCGGUAAUACGGAGGGUGCAAGCGUUAAUCGGAAUUACUGGGCGUAAAGCGUGCGCAGGCGGUUGUGCAAGACCGAUGUGAAAUCCCCGAGCUUAACUUGGGAAUUGCAUUGGUGACUGCACGGCUAGAGUGUGUCAGAGGGGGGUAGAAUUCCACGUGUAGCAGUGAAAUGCGUAGAGAUGUGGAGGAAUACCGAUGGCGAAGGCAGCCCCCUGGGAUAACACUGACGCUCAUGCACGAAAGCGUGGGGAGCAAACAGG